UACGAAGGACCCGAGCGUUAUCCGGAUUUAUUGGGUUUAAAGGGUGCGUAGGCGUCCUGGAAGGUUACGGUUGAAAUCUCCUUGCUCAACAAGGAAACUGGCCGUAAAACUAUCAGGAUUGAGUACAUUUGAAGCGGGCGGAAUGUGUCAUGUAGCGGUGAAAUGCUUAGAUAUGACACAGAACACCAAUUGAGAAGGAAGCUCGCUAAAAUGUAACUGAAGAUGAGGAAAGAAAGCGUGGGGAUCAAACAGG
rnacentral:rRNA from 1 species